AACAGGUUAAUAUUCCUGUACUUGGUGUUACUGCGAAGGGGGGACGGAGAAGGCUAUGUUGGCCGGGCGACGGUUGUCCCGGUUUAAGCGUGUAGGCUGGUUUUCCAGGCAAAUCCGGAAAAUCAAGGCUGAGGCGUGAUGACGAGGCACUACGGUGCUGAAGCAACAAAUGCCCUGCUUCCAGGAAAAGCCUCUAAGCAUCAGGUAACAUCAAAUCGUACCCCAAACCGACACAGGUGGUCAGGUAGAGAAUACCAAGGCGCUUGAGAGAACUCGGGUGAAGGAACUAGGCAAAAUGGUGCCGUAACUUCGGGAGAAGGCACGCUGAUAUGUAGGUGAAGUCCCUUGCGGAUGGAGCUGAAAUCAGUCGAAGAUACCAGCUGGCUGCAACUGUUUAUUAAAAACACAGCACUGUGCAAACACGAAAGUGGACGUAUACGGUGUGACGCCUGCCCGGUGCCGGAAGGUUAAUUGAUGGGGUCAGCGCAAGCGAAGCUCUUGAUCGAAGCCCCGGUAAACGGCGGCCGUAACUAUAACGGUCCUAAGGUAGCGAAAUUCCUUGUCGGGUAAGUUCCGACCUGCACGAAUGGCGUAAUGAUGGCCAGGCUGUCUCCACCCGAGACUCAGUGAAAUUGAACUCGCUGUGAAGAUGCAGUGUACCCGCGGCAAGACGGAAAGACCCCGUGAACCUUUACUAUAGCUUGACACUGAACAUUGAGCCUUGAUGUGUAGGAUAGGUGGGAGGCUUUGAAGUGUGGACGCCAGUCUGCAUGGAGCCGGCCUUGAAAUACCACCCUUUAAUGUUUGAUGUUCUAACGUGGACCCGUGAUCCGGGUUGCGGACAGUGUCUGGUGGGUAGUUUGACUGGGGCGGUCUCCUCCUAAAGAGUAACGGAGGAGCACGAAGGUUGGCUAAUCCUGGUCGGACAUCAGGAGGUUAGUGCAAUGGCAUAAGCCAGCUUGACUGCGAGCGUGACGGCGCGAGCAGGUGCGAAAGCAGGUCAUAGUGAUCCGGUGGUUCUGAAUGGAAGGGCCAUCGCUCAACGGAUAAAAGGUACUCCGGGGAUAACAGGCUGAUACCGCCCAAGAGUUCAUAUCGACGGCGGUGUUUGGCACCUCGAUGUCGGCUCAUCACAUCCUGGGGCUGAAGUAGGUCCCAAGGGUAUGGCUGUUCGCCAUUUAAAGUGGUACGCGAGCUGGGUUUAGAACGUCGUGAGACAGUUCGGUCCCUAUCUGCCGUGGGCGCUGGAGAACUGAGGGGGGCUGCUCCUAGUACGAGAGGACCGGAGUGGACGCAUCACUGGUGUUCGGGUUGUCAUGCCAAUGGCACUGCCCGGUAGCUAAAUGCGGAAGAGAUAAGUGCUGAAAGCAUCUAAGCACGAAACUUGCCCCGAGAUGAGUUCUCCCUGACCCUUUAAGGGUCCUGAAGGAACGUUGAAGACGACGACGUUGAUAGGCCGGGUGUGUAAGCGCAGCGAUGCGUUGAGCUAACCGGUACUAAUGAACCGUGAGG
rnacentral:rRNA from 1 species